rnacentral:piRNA from 1 species
UAUUGCAUGAGAUAGACAAUAGGAGCC